GCCGGAGUGGUGAAACUGGUAGACGCACUGGACUCAAAAUCCAGCGACCUCACGGUCAUGUCGGUUCGAUUCCGACCUCCGGCACCA
rnacentral:tRNA from 1 species